rnacentral:rRNA from 1 species
UACAGAGGGUGCGAGCGUUGUCCGGAAUCACUGGGCGUAAAGGGCGCGUAGGUGGCCUGAUAAGUAGGGGGUGAAAUCUCGUGGCUCAACUGCGAGGCUGCCUCCUAAACUGUCGGGCUUGAGCAGAGUAGAGGCAGGUGGAAUUCCCGGUGUAGCGGUGGAAUGCGUAGAGAUCGGGAGGAAGGCCGGUGGCGAAGGCGGCGCUCUGGAACAUUUCUGACGCUGAGGCUCGAAAGCGUGGGGAGCAAACAGG